rnacentral:tRNA from 1 species
GCGAAAGUAGCUCAGCUGGUAGAGCGCAACCUUGCCAAGGUUGAGGUCGCGGGUUCGAAUCCCGUCUUUCGCUCUA